GUUUUACCAUGGUAGUGUCCGGGCAGCAGGUCGUCAGUUCCUCGCCCCGUUGGUCAGCGUGAGGCGCAGUGGUCGUCGUGUGGCCGUGUUGUCAGCUGUCAUCCCCGCUCCCGCGCCCUUCCAGCCCCUGUUUUUAGCCGCCUGAGGCCUUUUAGCCGCCCAAAAUGGCCAGUGGAGUGCAGCAGGCAGAUUUACCGUGGUGGCAGAAGUACCUGGCCCGUGGGGUUGGCUGCGGGGGAGGCGUCAUUGCCCUGGGUCUUGGGCUGUUCAACUGCAUCAGCUUAUCUGCGUUCUGCAUUGUUGCUGGGAUAUGGCAGAUGUUGGCAGCUUUUAUCGUGAUAUCGGCCGAGGCUCCAUGCUGCUGCAUGUUCAUAGAAUUUGUGCAGCGCUACUCAGUGUGGGUGGACGCGCGGCCACACUGGCAGAAGGCCGUCUUAUACAUUGGCCUGUCCAUCCCCUCCUUCAUCAUGUGCAUCUCUGUGUCCGUCAUUCUGGGCUCAGGCUUGAUCUUCCCAAAGCGGGUUGCUGUAUGCGGUAUGAUGGCUCUUGGCAAAAAGGGGAGCCGCGAGGACAUGAUGGCCGCCGCCGCCACAAACAGCCACUCGGGGAUGUCCACCUCCCAGAGUGCCAUCCUCGUAGAUGACCCCGAGGCCUGGCGCUCCACCUGAACCGGCAGGGCCACUCGUAACUCCCAUCACCACCUCCACCGCCACACCUUUGAUCACCUCACUUGUUGGUGUUGAGGCUCCCGGGAGGACAUGAUCGCUGCAGCCCAGAACUCUGGCCGGCCUGGCGGCAUGAAGGACAACCUGGUGGACGGCGGCUCAAGUCCUCCCGCCUAAGCUCCUCCACACUGCCGCCACCGCCGCCUACAGAGUUGAGUAGCUGAUGCGUCGGUGAUCAUCGAGCCACCGGAAGAAACUUUGCUGUCUUAACAAUAAUGUCUAGAAGUAUAUAACAAUUUGGUAGACCUGCUGGUGAUAACAUGAGUCAAGGCCAGGCCUGGUGUAGGUGUCGUAAGAAUUGCUCGGUUGUCCAGUAGUCCUUGUGAUGACCCAGUGGCUGAAGAUGUAAUAGUUGUUCAUCAUGUGAAGGGCACUAACUGAUGGCUAGGUUUUAUUUUAUUCAAUAGUUUGUCUUUUAAUCUGAACUUUUAAAUUAUGACCUCUUUGAAUUGCUCCCCAGAGGGAUGGUGACAACUGAACAACUAAAGUAUCUCUGGCUAUCUCUUCCCAGGCUUUUACUCUUUGCAGGUACUGAAACUUUGAUUUCUUUUAAUAGGCUGCUACAUUUUCCAUAUUUAUUCCCCAUCCCUUUCAUAUAUAUAUACUCACAUGUUUAUGUCAGUAACCUUACCGUUGACUUGAUAAGUGAAGCCCUGUCCUUGAAGUGUGCCUGUUGCUGCUUCACACUGCCAGCUGUCCACACACCUUCAGGCUGUAGAGUCUUGGUGACCUGUUGCCCCACCCUACCCGGGGAGGCAGGAACAAUAUUUAGGGCUGAAGGCUGCGGGACUGUAGUAGUUUGUGUGCACUCGGGCUGUUGUCAAGAUUUGCAUUCUUUGCCAUGGUAGGAAAGUGUGAUUUGAAAGUAUCAUAUCAUUGUAGUUUACUAAGUCAAAUUUUUCCAACUAGUGUUUUGCAAAGCUUGUUUUUUAAGCAAUUUACUGUGUGUAUUCUUAGCCAGGUUUGUUUUUUAAUUUGUGACACAUAUUUGAUUGAUUGAAAAACACUUUCAGUUGAAUUGAAAGCAAACAACAAGGUGCGGAUAUAUUAACGCUGGAGAAAAAGUCUUGUUGGUAUUCAAAAAAGUAAACUAAGAGUCAGAUAAGAAUAGAUAAUCAGCUUGGACACCAUAAACAUGUCCAAAUUUUUUCACCCAAGCUAUCUUGCCUUUUUCACAUUAGCCUCACCUUGAUCACAGACCCAAUCAACAGUAGCCACAGCCGUAGACUACACCCAAGUAGAGACAAACCACGCGCUGUCCAAUCCAGUAUAAAAGACACAUAACACGUAACGUUCUCCUUAGUUCUCAUUUGGCUAACACUGGAUGGUUUAGAGGUAAUGUGAAAGCAUCUUCUUGUGUCCUCCUUAUACUGAUGUUGGAAGCAAAGGUAUUAGGAAAUGUGUAUCUUGAUGGUCUUUUGAGUGUGUGAAGAGGUACUAUAUAGUGUCCGUGUUUUGUUCUAAGUAGCACUAAGUAGGAUAAGGCAGAAGGGCCAGUGCAGUUUGUGGGUGGGUGGGUGGGUGUGGGGGAUGCAGGGGCGAGAGGCUGUUGCAGCUGAAGGUGUUUUUAGGAGAGCAUUCUUGAUCUACGUUUCUCUUUUUCUGUCUCUGUCUUCCUGUGUCGUUGUGGUUCGCUAAUUUGUGUUGUCUUCUUUUUGUUAUGAUUCUCUGGUUCGUGUUCUUUUCUAAUCUUCUCUCUUUUAUCUGUUCUUUCUCUCUGCCAUUUCUCUUUUUCUUAGCUCUUUUCUAUCUCUGUCUCCUUCUCUGUCUUCCAAUGUCUUCUUGGCUCCCUAAUUUGUGGUGUUUUAUUUUUGUUAUGAUUCUCUGUUUCAUGUUCUUUUCUGCUCUUUUCUCUCUUUUGUACUUUUUAUCUGUUUUCUUCUUUGUCCUCUUUCAUUAUGGGUCUCUAUUUUGCCGAGCUCCCUUUGUCAAUAAUUCUCUAUUUUAUGUAUUAUCCGCACUUUUCUUUUUUAUAUCCAGUUCUUCGUUUCAUGCCCCUAUCUUUGCGGUCUUUCUUAAUUUUUAUCUUUUUUAUCCAUGCCCUCCUCUUCUUCCCUUAUGUUUUUUUCCUAGUUCUCUUUUUUUCAGUGAUUCUGGGUUAUGUUCUAUUCCACUUUCUUUUAAUCUUAAGGUUCUCCGUUUUCCACUCUCUCGUCUGUGCUGUCUUCUCUCUCAGUGGUUCUCUCAUUGUCCUUAUGGUGUUCUAUUUUCGGCUCUGUUAUCCUUCCCAUUGGUUCUCCUCACUCGCAUAUUAAUAGCUCUGCAGGGAUUCACAUCUUAAAUUAUAUCAUUCAUUCUUUCUGUCAGCAAUUCCAGGCAUAACGUAAUUUGUCUAUCUGGUUAAGUCAGUGGAUCAGCAGACGGUCAAGGUGUUUUUCCACUUCUUUAUUCCAUGAGAAGGUUUUUGAGGUAGGUACAUAGGCAACAGAGGUCACAUGGUGCUGACUUCCAAAGACUCCACAGGAAAUGUUACCAUGCAUACAAAUUGGACCUCACGUGUAUGCACAGGGUUCAGUGAUGUUUUAAUUAUUAUAAGGUGGUGAAAAAGAAAAGGUGGUUUAUAUUAUGUGAGUGGAAUUGGUGCAUUACAGAACACACUUCGUGUCUCCAAGGAUUGUUAUUGAUAUUGUUAUUAUUAUUAUUAUUAUUAUUAUUAUUAUUAUUAUUAUUAUUAUUAUUAUUAUUAUUAUCACUACUGCUACCGCUAUUGUUAUUAUUACUAUUGUUUUUCCUUGUCAUGGUAAAAGUGAGGUAUGUUACUGAUAUUACAACUUAUUAUUAUUAUUAUUGCUGGUAAUGAUUAGCAGGCCUUCCACAUUCCAGUGCUUGCUAAAAACAAACUUUCAGGCACAUUAAACACCCAAGUCAUGUGUUAAUCUGCCAUCUUACUGACAAACCACUGUGUCAGAAUUUGUUUGCUGGUUCAUCCUUGCUAAGUACUUGGUGAGGCUCUGGACCUGUACCCACUGUAAAGCAAAAAACAAAAGGCCAUACUGCUAAAAAGAGUCUGGCCUAAUAUUGCAAUACUGAACAAUGCUCUCUUAAGUUGCAAUAUUUAGUUUUCACCUUAAUGAUCUGUGCACUAGAGCUAUGAGUAACAGUGUACCAAAAGAACUGUGUGCAAAAUUACGUGCAAAGUAUAGCAUUAUUUUAUCACAGCAAGUGUGUUUUGUAUCCGCACUAUGCCGGAGGUCAUGUCGGAGUGCUCGUGUGUCAAAAUUCCCAUUGUGUUUGUGUCUGUUGGCUUCCUCGUCCCCUCGGAGUGAUGGUUGGGCUCCUCCCCCUCACACAGCCACUGGUUUUCCUCUUGUCGAAGUAAGGGGCAGCCUUCGCUCUGAUAGGAUUAUAGUAUCCCUUAAUUUGCUUAAGUCCGCUCAGUUCUCUUAAUUUAGGGAUGUUACCUCUGUUUGUCAGUGCACGAUGUAUGUACACUCGAUGUAUGAAGACUAGUCCCCACGUGUGUAAGCGAAGGUAAAGCAGCAAAGUACCAGCUAAACAUGGCUUGCAAAGGAGAGGGAAAGUAAGUUGUCAAUGUUUAGCUAAAUUUUGUUGCCUUUCUUUCCCACUCUGGUAGGUCCUUGCAGCAUAACUCAGCUUGUAUUUCUCUAGAGGAAAACAUAAGUCAUAUUUAAGGAACUUCCGAGGCAGAUAUACUUUUACUAGCAUAGAAAUGUAUGUUUUUAACUCAUAUAACCAAGGCUGGAGGAGGACUUGCUUGGUAAUUGCCUGAGUUAGGUUUUAUUUAACUAUCCUGGUUUUAUGCCACGAGAUUUUAGUUGUAAAAGAAUGAGCAAGUUGCCUUUUGUUUGUUUGUUUAUACGCUUUGUGAUUAAAAGAACAUUCUCAGGAACAAAGAUGGAUAGAUAUGGAGAUACAUGGAGAGGAGGCAAGACAGUUUCCUACCAUAAGAGCAAAAAAAAAGAAAAAAAAAGAAACUGUGUAAAUGUUAUAUUUGUACUUAUUUUGUGUGUCUAGGAUAUGUACCCGUUGAUAUCUCCAUCAUUAGUCAAACUUAAUUAACAACCUAACCAUGUAUAAUGAUGCGCUAACCAACACAUUAGCCCCCAGAACAAGCUGCCUGUAUGGGGUUCUGAUGCAUUCCAUAUUGUUCCUUAUGGUUUGGUACAUAUAGCCCUUUAGUAUUGAGUUGUGCUCCAUAACAUCCUAUUUGUUCUGUAUUCCUCCUUGUUUCCAUGCACUCUGGUGGUCAUUGUGGUGUGUGUGUCGUCAGUGUUGGUGUAGCUCAUUCAUCCUUGGUCAAGAUGGGUAGGUAGGUAGGGCGAAGUAAUUCCAGUUUAUCCACUCAGAAUUCAUCUUGAGAAUUUGUGUAACUUUCUUUUUUUAUUAUUAAAGUUUAUUUGAAAUUA